CAUGCAAGUCGAACGGCAGCACGGGUACUUGUACCUGGUGGCGAGUGGCGAACGGGUGAGCAAUACAUCGGAACGUACCUUAUCGUGGGGGAUAACGCAGCGAAAGCUGUGUAAUACCGCAUACGCCCUGAGGGGGAAAGCGGGGGAUCGAAAGACCUCGCGCGAUUAGAGCGGCCGAUGCUUGAUUAGCUUGUUGGUGGGGUAAAAGCCCACCAAGGCGACGAUCAAUAGCUGGUCUGAGAGGACGAUCAGCCACACUGGGACUGAGACACGGCCCAGACUCCUACGGGAGGCAGCAGUGGGGAAUUUUGGACAAUGGGGGCAACCCUGAUCCAGCAAUGCCGCGUGAGUGAAGAAGGCCUUCGGGUUGUAAAGCUCUUUUGUCAGGGAAGAAACACCGGCUCUAACACAGUCCGGGAAUGACGGUACCUGAA
rnacentral:rRNA from 1 species